rnacentral:rRNA from 1 species
ACAGGCAUGAAAUCCCCGGGCUCAACCUGGGAAUGGCGCUUGUGACUGCAAAGCUGGAGUGCGGCAAAGGGGGAUGGAAUUCCGCGUGUAGCAAUGAAAUGCGUAAAUGUGCGGAGGAACACCGAUGGCGAAGGCAAUCCCCUGGGCCUGCACUGACGCUCAUGCACGAAAGCGUGGGGAGCAAACAGGAUUAAAUACCCUGGUAGUCCACGCCCUAAACGAUGUCAACUGGUUGUUGGUCCUUAGCUGGAUCAGUAACGAAGCUAACGCGUGAAGUUGACCGCCUGGGGAGUACGGCCGCAAGGUUGAAACUCAAAGGAAUUGACGG